rnacentral:rRNA from 1 species
AUAACAGCUGGAAACGGCUGCUAAUACCGCAUAAGCGCACGAGGAGACAUCUCCUAGUGUGAAAAACUCCGGUGGUACAGGAUGGGCCCGCGUCUGAUUAGCUGGUUGGCAGGGUAACGGCCUACCAAGGCAACGAUCAGUAGCCGGUCUGAGAGGAUGAACGGCCACAUUGGAACUGAGACACGGUCCAAACUCCUACGGGAGGCAGCAGUGGGGAAUAUUGCACAAUGGGGGAAACCCUGAUGCAGCAACGCCGCGUGAGUGAAGAAGUAUUUCGGUAUGUAAAGCUCUAUCAGCAGGGAAGAUAAUGACGGUACCUGACUAAGAAGCUCCGGCUAAAUACGUGCCAGCAGCCGCGGUAAUACGUAUGGAGCAAGCGUUAUCCGGAUUUACUGGGUGUAAAGGGUGCGUAGGUGGCAGUGCGAGUCAGAUGUGAAAGGCCGGGGCUCAACCCCGGAGCUGCAUUUGAAACUGCUCGGCUAGAGUACAGGAGAGGCAGGCGGAAUUCCUAGUGUAGCGGUGAAAUGCGUAGAUAUUAGGAGGAACACCAGUGGCGAAGGCGGCCUGCUGGACUGUUACUGACACUGAGGCACGAAAGCGUGGGGAGCAAACAGGAUUAGAUACCCUGGUAGUCCACGCCGU